UACGAGAGGCCCAAACGUUGUUCGGAUUUACUGGGCGUAAAGCGCGUGUAGGCGGCUUUACAAGUCGGAUGUGAAAGCCCACGGCUCAACCGUGGAAGUGCAUCCGAAACUGUAUCGCUGGAGUCCCGGAGAGGAAGGUGGAAUGCUUGGUGUAGAGGUGAAAUUCGUAGAUAUCAAGCAGAACACCUGCGGCGAAGGCGGCCUUCUGGACGGUGACUGACGCUGAGAUGCGAAAGCGUGGGGAGCAAACAGG
rnacentral:rRNA from 1 species